GGGUGACGAAGCGACGCCGCGUGGGUGAGGAAGGCCUUCGGGUUGUAAAGCCCUGUCAGGAGUUAAGAAAUGUAGACUCGCUAAUAUCGGGUCUAUUUGACAAAGGCUCCAAAGGAAGCCACGGCUAACUCUGUGCCAGCAGCCGCGGUAAUACAGAGGUGGCAAGCGUUGUUCGGAAUUAUUGGGCGUAAAGAGCACGUAGGUGGAUUUGUAAGUCAGACGUGAAAGCCUUCUGUUCAACGGAAGAAUUGCAUCUGAAACUACAAACCUUGAGUGUAAGAGGGGAGAAUGGAACUUCUGGUGGAGCGGUGAAAUGCGUAGAUAUCGGAAGGAACGCCGGCGGCGAAAGCGAUUCUCUGGCCUAUUACUGACACUCAGUGUGCGAAAGCUAGGGGAGCAAACGGGAUUAGAUACCCCGGUAGUCCUAGCCGUAAACGAUGGGCACUAAGUAGAGG
rnacentral:rRNA from 1 species